rnacentral:tRNA from 1 species
GGGGCUGUAGCUCAGUUGGGCAGAGCGCCUCGCUGGCAGCGAGGAGGCCAGGGGUUCGAGUCCCCUCAGCUCCA